rnacentral:lncRNA from 1 species
GCUCACCUUAAGGACGCAGAGUGGCGUCAGAUUUGGAGAAGCGCCGGGGACCGUGGAGGAAGUCAUCGGCCUGGAUUUCUUUGGAUUUGCAGAUAGGGUUCCAGCAGAACUGGAAGGUGGGCGAGACAGGCCCUGCGCCACCAUUUGAGCAGCGCUGGGAUAUAAAACCAUCUGCUAGCCCUCUCCUUGCACGUCUGGGGCUGGAAAAAGUAGUUCUGGGACUGGGUACGGUGCUGGAAGGGGUACUAGGCAGGAUGAAACGACGGGGCCCACGACGC